rnacentral:rRNA from 1 species
UAGCGGAGGGUGCGAGCGUUGUCCGGAAUCAUUGGGCGUAAAGGGCGCGUAGGCGGCCGUCCCAAGCGGUGACCGGUGAAAGUCAGGGGCUCAACCCCUGACUCGGCCGUGCGAACUGGGGGCUCGAGCACUGUAGAGGAGGCGGAAUUCCGGGUGUAGCGGUGGAAUGCGUAGAGAGUCCGGAAGAACACCGGUGGCGAAGGCGGCCUGCUGG